UACGUAGGGAGCAAGCGUUGUUCGGAUUUACUGGGCGUAAAGGGCGCGUAGGCGGCGCGGUAAGUCACUUGUGAAAUCUCUGAGCUUAACUCAGAACGGCCAAGUGAUACUGCAGUGCUAGAGUGCAGAAGGGGCAAUCGGAAUUCUUGGUGUAGCGGUGAAAUGCGUAGAUAUCAAGAGGAACACCUGAGGUGAAGACGGGUUGCUGGGCUGACACUGACGCUGAAGUGCGAAAGCUAGGGGAGCGAACGGG
rnacentral:rRNA from 1 species